rnacentral:lncRNA from 1 species
AAAUUUCCCCCAAAGUGUGUUCUUCAAUUUUCAGAUCUAGGAUUUGAAAUUCAAACUUCAAACUCCAAAAACAAUAGAAAAUAUCCAAAAAAAUCAAAAAUAAAUAAAUAGACUGUUACAUUGAUCAUUUCUCAGGUUGUAGCUCGUAACUCAACUGUUAGUUCAUCUAGAAUCAGAAUUAGAUUAAUUUUUCUUUGUUUAUGUUCUGUGCUCAAGCUUUAAAAAGUGUUUGCAAGUAGCUUGGGGUUCAUUUUCAAGUUAUUAUUGGUGUUUCUCAGCAUUGAUUGGUUUUAUGGAAUUUUUGGGCUCAAUUUCGAGUAUAUAUGGUCUAUUCACGACAUCUAUAUUUGAUUUUCUGGUUUUAUUUUGCUGUGAACUCCUCCUAGAUUAAUGAUCUUAUUUUCUGGGCUAUUAUCUGAUCCUUGUUGUUGCUGUUGCUGGCCUCUCAUUCCUCUCAUUUUAUUUCAGAUUCAGGUACAUGUUCUAAAGCUUUCAAGUCAAUGGAAAUGAAGUAUAGGUAUUUUUUUUUAAGUUGAUCUUAAAUCAUCCUGUUGCUAUUCAAUUUUAACGUGUAAAAUAGUCAGCUUACUGGGAUUUUUAUGUCGUUUGUAUAACUAGAUUAAUGUUGGACUGUAUGACGGACUCCCUGUUAGAUUACGUCAAUUCGAAUCAGUAGCAUUUAAUAUUCAAUUUCUGUAGUUCAAAUUAUACUAUGUUGGACUGUUAAAUUUAGAUUCGAGUUUGUUUAUUAUAGAAUAACAGUCAUAGUGGUUACAAUUUUAGUUUAUAGUCUUAACACAAUUGUUAGUUGCUUAGAGCAAUAGUUCCUGGAAAUCUCUGAGCAUUAAGCGGAAUCAAAUGGUUUGUAAUUUAGAAGGAUUAGUAGGAUUAUCAUUAAAUGAAAGUUUAGUUUAGUCUAACAGAGUUGAUGUCUUAGUUGAGGCAAACAAUUGGGACAAAACUAGAACAAGCUGGAAAUUAGUUAACCUGUGACAUAUUGACCGUCUUAACUCCUUCACUUAUUAACAUCAUGGUUUAAUUCAUAUGGAAUGAUCUUUAGAUUUUCAUUGCUUUGGGUGUAUUAACUUAAAUUGGAAUCCUUUUGGAAAAUUUAACGUUCAGUUGGCUAUACGAACUGAGGACCCUAAGCGUGUUUGGGCUAUAAAUUUUGGCACAAAUCAAAACUUAAAUUUGACUGUAGCCAUACAGAUUUGACAUGAGAUCUUGUGAGGGGUUUGGCUCGUUCAAGCCUUCUACAUGUGGGCUUCCGUUUGGUCCUAGGCCAAGGUCAACAAUUGGCCAAUUUUGUGGUACAAGUCUGGAUGUAAUUUCCCUUCGUUGGGCUUAUCUUAGAACCCAAUAGCCAGACCGUGGUGCGGAAAUAUAAUUUGGUCCCGUAAUGAAUUAAGUAGGACUUUUUCUUUAUUUUUAGAGACAAAUAAAAAUAGAAAAUCAUAGUUUACUUACGUUGGACCUUUAAAUAAAAUAUGAGAUGAGCCUCGUCAAAUGUAAUGCAAAAUUGUGGGGGCCUCAAUAAAUCGGUAUAUUAAAAUAACAUAAAAUUUGG